rnacentral:rRNA from 1 species
AGCUUGCUCCCUGAUGUUAGCGGCGGACGGGUGAGUAACACGUGGGUAACCUGCCUGUAAGACUGGGAUAACUCCGGGAAACCGGGGCUAAUACCGGAUGCUUGUUUGAACCGCAUGGUUCAGACAUAAAAGGUGGCUUCGGCUACCACUUACAGAUGGACCCGCGGCGCAUUAGCUAGUUGGUGAGGUAACGGCUCACCAAGGCGACGAUGCGUAGCCGACCUGAGAGGGUGAUCGGCCACACUGGGACUGAGACACGGCCCAGACUCCUACGGGAGGCAGCAGUAGGGAAUCUUCCGCAAUGGACGAAAGUCUGACGGAGCAACGCCGCGUGAGUGAUGAAGGUUUUCGGAUCGUAAAGCUCUGUUGUUAGGGAAGAACAAGUGCCGUUCAAAUAGGGCGGCACCUUGACGGUACCUAACCAGAAAGCCACGGCUAACUACGUGCCAGCAGCCGCGGUAAUACGUAGGUGGCAAGCGUUGUCCGGAAUUAUUGGGCGUAAAGGGCUCGCAGGCGGUUUCUUAAGUCUGAUGUGAAAGCCCCCGGCUCAACCGGGGAGGGUCAUUGGAAACUGGGGAACUUGAGUGCAGAAGAGGAGAGUGGAAUUCCACGUGUAGCGGUGAAAUGCGUAGAGAUGUGGAGGAACACCAGUGGCGAAGGCGACUCUCUGGUCUGUAACUGACGCUGAGGAGCGAAAGCGUGGGGAGCGAACAGGAUUAGAUACCCUGGUAGUCCACGCCGUAAACGAUGAGUGCUAAGUGUUAGGGGGUUUCCGCCCCUUAGUGCUGCAGCUAACGCAUUAAGCACUC